rnacentral:rRNA from 1 species
UACGUAGGGGGCAAGCGUUGUCCGGAAUCAUUGGGCGUAAAGCGCGUGUAGGCGGUUCGGUAAGUCUGCUGUGAAAGUCCAGGGCUCAACCCUGGGAUGCCGGUGGAUACUGUCGGGCUAGAGUACGGAAGAGGCGAGUGGAAUUCCCGGUGUAGCGGUGAAAUGCGCAGAUAUCGUCUGGAACACCAAAGGUGAAAACAGCUCGCUGGGGUUGUGCUGACGCUGAGACACGAAAGCCAGGGGAGCGAACGGG